AAAGAUUUGUCGAUGUUGUUUUAUAACGUCAUGGGGAAGAGGAAGAGGCGUGUCUCAAAAUGGCGGCGUCCAAAGGACGACAUCGAGACCGUUUUUCAAGAUGGCCGCUUCCGUGCCUAAACUGGUUCUUCCGUACAUCUCCCCACCUCCCCCAACUAGAGGGGAGCUAGCGUGUUUAAAACCUAAAGCAAUAGAGGGGGAAAUUGUGAUUAUUAUAGCUAACAAAAAUAACUCUUUUGUAUAAUUUCUUAAUGUCUACAAAACAAUUUCUUCCCAGCAAACCUCUGAAGAAGGAAAGGAUGAUAGAAAAUAAGUAGUGCCGUAAACAUCUAUUUCAUUUCUACUUUUGCUACCAAGGAGGAUGAUCUUUAGAAUGCGAAAGAUGGAAGAAAGCUGGCUUUGAGGACAUCGGAACCUAAGGUAUAUGAGGAGACGAUGAGAACACACCUAACUGCCCACGGUGAAUUCAGGCGGCUAAGCCUGGAUGUAUUCCAUCCCAAGAUCGCCAGGGCAUCAUGCCCCUAACUCCCUCAAUGUGGAAGGGAGAACUGUCGUUCAGCUCCUCACUGUGCUCUUCCCUCGAGAUCAUGCCCUGCCAAACCUUAGACUUGGAUGAAUCCUAGCAUCUGAUGCCUUCAUCCCUACAUGUGCUGCUGAACAGAGUUGACGAGAAUCACAAAACCAUGCUGACUGGGUCCAGUACAAAUUUACAUUACAUAAUUUCAAUUGGAUGCUCAUUGCAGCAAGUAGAACAUAACCUCCCUGAGGGAAGAGGCUGUAUAAUUUUUUAUUCUUGUGUGGAGGCCUGGUACAUGUGCACACUACCUUCUAUAGGAUCUCUCUGCCCUGUUCCCAGGAGCAAUCCCAGGAGAAUCACUGUGUCACAUGAGGGACAAGUGCCUUGGAGAGACUAGAGCAUCUGUAGCUGACUGAGAUCAAAUAACUGUAUGUGAAGGAGCAGGCUGUUUGGCUUCAGCUUGUCAAAAGACCUGUCAUUGAAGGGUGUGAACAAGCAGUUCUCAAGAGAAGACGUGCAAAGAAUUCACAACCACAUAAAAGAUGCUCCAAAUCACUAAUCGUAAGAGAAACAUAAACCAGAACAAUUCUGACGCUUUGCCUCACGCUCUGCAAAUUGGUAAGAAUGACCCAAAAUGGCAACGGUCAAUGUUGGAGGAGUUGUGGGGAGAGAGGCACCUUCAUCCAUUGUUGGCAGAGCUAUGAAACCUUUUGGAAAGCAAUUUGGAAUUAUGGAAAUCAAGUGACUAAAAUGUCUAUACCCUUUGAACCAGAGACUCCAUUACAAGGAAACCACUGAUAAGAAAAAAGUUCCUAUGUGCUCCAAAAUAUUUAUAGCAGGCCUUUUUGUGGUAGCUAAGCAUCGGAAACAAAGUAGAUGCCCAUCAACUGGG